UCAAACAGAUCUUGUCAGGAUGUACGGGGGGAGAUCCAACAACAGGCCUGUGAUGGCUCUAUAGUACUUCUGCAAUCACUUGCAAUGACAUUUUGCAAGUCAAGUCUGGAAGACUUACUGCAGAAGUACUAUAGAAUUGUCACUGGACAACAUCCCACUGGAAAGAUCGACCUGCCCAUUCUUCAUCGAUGUCUCAGUCCCAUCAUGAAGAAUGCCAAGGACCUCUGCAAAAAAAAGAAUGCAGAACACUACAAUUUGGCAAUGCACACCUUUGGCCUACUUGCAUGUAUUUCAAGUCUUAAAGACUUGGAUGAGGUUCUUCUCAGUACGACUGUACUCUUCUGCAGUCCUUGCACUGGGAAGAACAUUCAGAAGCACCUUGAAAACCUACAUGUCUGGAUGGAUAAAGGGGGACCUUGGAGAUAGAUGACGAACAAAUCGUCCCGGAAGACUAAAAGCUGGAUGUAGGAACCGCACCCUUGAUGAGCCACUUCCAAGAGAUCAUUGAUCAGGCACCACUUGAUCUCACUGGUGAAGUGAACACAUACCAAGCACCAAAUUUUGUUCCGUGUUUGGCAAAACAUUUCCUCCCACAUGCCACCUUGUGGUCUGGACUGAUG